rnacentral:rRNA from 1 species
GAUGAACGCUGGCGGCGUGCUUAACACAUGCAAGUCGAACGGAAAGGCCGAAGCUUGCUUCGGUACUCGAGUGGCGAACGGGUGAGUAACACGUGGGUGAUCUGCCCUGUACUUCGGGAUAAGCUUGGGAAACUGGGUCUAAUACCGGAUAUGACGAUCUCUUGGAUGGGGUUGUGGAAAGCUUUUGCGGUAUGGGAUGAGCUCGCGGCCUAUCAGCUUGUUGGUGGGGUAAUGGCCUACCAAGGCGUCGACGGGUAGCCGGCCUGAGAGGGUGUACGGCCACAUUGGGCCUGAGAUACGGCCCAGACUCCUACGGGAGGCAGUAGUGGGGAAUAUUGCACAAUGGGCGCAAGCCUGAUGCAGCGACGCCGCGUGGGGGAUGACGGCCUUCGGGUUGUAAACUCCUUUCGCAAUCGACGAAGCCUUUUGGUGACGGUAGGUUGAGAAGAAGCACCGGCUAACUACGUG